rnacentral:misc_RNA from 1 species
CUGUGGUCAGCUCCUCUCAAAUGAAUCAGCUUGCCAGUGUUUGGUGGCAUCACAGGUGUGAUAACUAUCUACGCUUGUGGUUUUUUGCCAAAUAACCCCCAGCAAUGGAGGUUCACUGGAGCUCAUAAACGUCUCUCUUCGGUGGAGACAGCUCUUGAAUGUUUGAUCUCAAAUCAGGUAGGACUACCCGCUGAACUUAA